rnacentral:rRNA from 1 species
UGGGGAAUAUUGCACAAUGGGCGCAAGCCUGAUGCAGCCAUGCCGCGUGUGUGAAGAAGGCCUUCGGGUUGUAAAGCACUUUCAGCGAGGAGGAAGGGUUCAGUGUUAAUAGCACUGUUCAUUGACGUUACUCGCAGAAGAAGCACCGGCUAACUCCGUGCCAGCAGCCGCGGUAAUACGGAGGGUGCAAGCGUUAAUCGGAAUUACUGGGCGUAAAGCGCACGCAGGCGGUUUGUUAAGUCAGAUGUGAAAUCCCCGCGCUUAACGUGGGAACUGCAUUUGAAACUGGCAAGCUAGAGUCUUGUAGAGGGGGGUAGAAUUCCAGGUGUAGCGGUGAAAUGCGUAGAGAUCUGGAGGAAUACCGGUGGCGAAGGCGGCCCCCUGGACAA